GAUCAUGGCUCAGGAUGAACGCUAGCUACAGGCUUAACACAUGCAAGUCGAGGGGCAACAUGACGAUAGCUUGCUAUUGUUGAUGGCGACCGGCGCACGGGUGAGUAACGCGUAUCCAACCUGCCCUUGUCCAUCGGAUAACCCGUCGAGAGGCGGCCUAACACGAUAUGCAGUUCUCAGCAGGCAUCUAACGAGAACGAAAUGUAAAGGAGAAGGAUGGGG
rnacentral:rRNA from 1 species